GGUUAAGCGACUAAGCGUACACGGUGGAUGCCCUGGCAGUCAGAGGCGAUGAAGGACGUGCUAAUCUGCGAAAAGCGUCGGUAAGGUGAUAUGAACCGUUAUAACCGGCGAUGUCCGAAUGGGGAAACCCAGUGCAAUUCGUUGCACUAUCGUUAACUGAAUACAUAGGUUAACGAGGCGAACCGGGGGAACUGAAACAUCUAAGUACCCCGAGGAAAAGAAAUCAACCGAGAUUCCCCCAGUAGCGGCGAGCGAACGGGGAGCAGCCCAGAGUCUGAAUCAGCUUGUGUGUUAGUGGAACGGUCUGGAAAGUCCGACGGUACAGGGUGAUAGUCCCGUACACCAAAAUGCACAGGCUGUGAACUCGAAGAGUAGGGCGGGACACGUGGUAUCCUGUCUGAAUAUGGGGGGACCAUCCUCCAAGGCUAAAUACUCCUGACUGACCGAUAGUGAACCAGUACCGUGAGGGAAAGGCGAAAAGAACCCCGGCGAGGGGAGUGAAAAAGAACCUGAAACCGUGUACGUACAAGCAGUGGGAGCACCUUCGGGUGUGACUGCGUACCUUUUGUAUAAUGGGUCAGCGACUUAUAUUCUGUAGCAAGGUUAACCGUAUAGGGGAGCCGCAGGGAAACCGAGUCUUAACUGGGCGUUAAGUUGCAGGGUAUAGACCCGAAACCCGGUGAUCUAGCCAUGGGCAGGUUGAAGGUUGGGUAACACUAACUGGAGGACCGAACCGACUAAUGUUGAAAAAUUAGCGGAUGACUUGUGGCUGGGGGUGAAAGGCCAAUCAAACCGGGAGAUAGCUGGUUCUCCCCGAAAGCUAUUUAGGUAGCGCCUCGUGAAUUCAUCUUCGGGGGUAGAGCACUGUUUCGGCUAGGGGGUCAUCCCGACUUACCAACCCGAUGCAAACUACGAAUACCGAAGAAUGUUAUCACGGGAGACACACGGCGGGUGCUAACGUCCGUCGUGAAGAGGGAAACAACCCAGACCGCCAGCUAAGGUCCCAAAGUCAUGGUUAAGUGGGAAACGAUGUGGGAAGGCACAGACAGCCAGGAUGUUGGCUUAGAAGCAGCCAUCAUUUAAAGAAAGCGUAAUAGCUCACUGGUCGAGUCGGCCUGCGCGGAAGAUGUAACGGGGCUAAACCAUGCACCGAAGCUGCGGCAGCGACACUAUGUGUUGUUGGGUAGGGGAGCGUUCUGUAAGCCUGCGAAGGUGACCUGUGAGGGUUGCUGGAGGUAUCAGAAGUGCGAAUGCUGACAUAAGUAACGAUAAAGCGGGUGAAAAGCCCGCUCGCCGGAAGACCAAGGGUUCCUGUCCAACGUUAAUCGGGGCAGGGUGAGUCGACCCCUAAGGCGAGGCCGAAAGGCGUAGUCGAUGGGAAACAGGUUAAUAUUCCUGUACUUGGUGUUACUGCGAAGGGGGGACGGAGAAGGCUAUGUUAGCCGGGCGACGGUUGUCCCGGUUUAAGCAUGUAGGCUGGUUGUCCAGGCAAAUCCGGAUAAUCAAGGCUGAGGUGUGAUGACGAGGCACUACGGUGCUGAAGUAACAAAUGCCCUGCUUCCAGGAAAAGCCUCUAAGCAUCAGGUAACAUCAAAUCGUACCCCAAACCGACACAGGUGGUCAGGUAGAGAAUACCAAGGCGCUUGAGAGAACUCGGGUGAAGGAACUAGGCAAAAUGGUGCCGUAACUUCGGGAGAAGGCACGCUGGUGUGUAGGUGAAGUCCCUGCGGAUGGAGCUGAGACCAGUCGAAGAUACCAGCUGGCUGCAACUGUUUAUUAAAAACACAGCACUGUGCAAACACGAAAGUGGACGUAUACGGUGUGACGCCUGCCCGGUGCCGGAAGGUUAAUUGAUGGGGUUAUCCGUAAGGAGAAGCUCUUGAUCGAAGCCCCGGUAAACGGCGGCCGUAACUAUAACGGUCCUAAGGUAGCGAAAUUCCUUGUCGGGUAAGUUCCGACCUGCACGAAUGGCGUAAUGAUGGCCAGGCUGUCUCCACCCGAGACUCAGUGAAAUUGAACUCGCUGUGAAGAUGCAGUGUACCCGCGGCAAGACGGAAAGACCCCGUGAACCUUUACUAUAGCUUGACACUGAACAUUGAGCCUUGAUGUGUAGGAUAGGUGGGAGGCUUUGAAGCGUGGACGCCAGUCUGCGUGGAGCCAACCUUGAAAUACCACCCUUUAAUGUUUGAUGUUCUAACGUUGGCCCCUUAUCGGGGUUGCGGACAGUGUCUGGUGGGUAGUUUGACUGGGGCGGUCUCCUCCCAAAGCGUAACGGAGGAGCACGAAGGUUAGCUAAUCCUGGUCGGACAUCAGGAGGUUAGUGCAAUGGCAUAAGCUAGCUUGACUGCGAGCGUGACGGCGCGAGCAGGUGCGAAAGCAGGUCAUAGUGAUCCGGUGGUUCUGAAUGGAAGGGCCAUCGCUCAACGGAUAAAAGGUACUCCGGGGAUAACAGGCUGAUACCGCCCAAGAGUUCAUAUCGACGGCGGUGUUUGGCACCUCGAUGUCGGCUCAUCACAUCCUGGGGCUGAAGUAGGUCCCAAGGGUAUGGCUGUUCGCCAUUUAAAGUGGUACGCGAGCUGGGUUUAGAACGUCGUGAGACAGUUCGGUCCCUAUCUGCCGUGGGCGCUGGAGAAUUGAGGGGGGCUGCUCCUAGUACGAGAGGACCGGAGUGGACGCAUCACUGGUGUUCGGGUUGUCAUGCCAAUGGCACUGCCCGGUAGCUAAAUGCGGAAGAGAUAAGUGCUGAAAGCAUCUAAGCACGAAACUUGCCCCGAGAUGAGUUCUCCCUGAGACUUUAAGUCUCCUGAAGGAACGUU
rnacentral:rRNA from 1 species